rnacentral:lncRNA from 1 species
AUUACUAGGAAAUCUGACAGACACACACCUUCAAGAGGGGGUGUAUAUCAAGUUCAACCUUCCCUAGCUGAAGAGGCUAAAUUUACGUCUUAAAUCCAUAAGAUAGAGUUCCUAGAACUCAAGGGACACACCCAAGUGAACCAAGUUGCAACAACCACUUGCAAUGGGUGUAAUGCUAUAGAUCACAUGAUGGAAGGAUAUCCUUUCUUGAUGGGUCCAGUC